rnacentral:rRNA from 1 species
GGGUUUAGAACGUCGUGAGACAGUUCGGUCCCUAUCUGCCGUGGGCGUUGGAAGAUUGAGAGGGGUUGCUCCUAGUACGAGAGGACCGGAGUGAACGCACCACUGGUGUUCGGGUUGUCAUGCCAAUGGCAUUGCCCGGUAGCUAAGUGCGGAAGAGAUAACCGCUGAAAGCAUCUAAGCGGGAAACUUGCCUCGAGAUGAGUCUUCCCUGUCGCUUUAAGCGACCUAAAGGAACGUUUAAGACUAAGACGUUGAUAGGCUGGGUGUGUAAGCGUAGCGAUACGUUGAGCUAACCAGUACUAAUGAACCGUGAGGCUUAACCUG